AGCUUGCUAUUGCAGAGUUUGCAAGAUCGCUUCUUGUUAUUCCUAAUACACUGGCAGUGAAUGCUGCCCAAGACUCCACCGACCUGGUUGCCAAGCUAAGAGCUUUUCACAAUGAGGCUCAAGUUAACCCAGAACGUAAAAAUCUAAAGUGGAUUGGCCUUGAUUUGAUCAAUGGGAAACCUCGAGACAACAAGCAAGCGGGGGUUUUUGAACCAACCAUAGUUAAAGUGAAGAGCCUGAAGUUUGCAACAGAAGCUGCGAUCACCAUUCUUCGAAUCGAUGAUCUGAUAAAAUUGCACCCAGAAAGCAAAGAGGAUAAACAUGGAAGUUACGAAAAUGCCGUUCACUCUGGAGCCCUUGAUGACUGAUUGGUUGGAUUUCCCUUUUAUUUAUAGCAGUGUCAGACGCCAUGUCUUAGCCUUGGGUGUCUCAUUAAAGUACAGCAAGCUGA